UAAGACGUAGGGAUGUCAGAUUCCGAGUGGGAGACAGGGUUUGGAAGAAGAAUUUUAUGUUAUCCAAUGCAGCUAAUGAUUUUUCCUCUAAAUUAGCACCUAAGUAUAUUCCUUGUGUUGUUCAUAGAGUUCUUUCACCCUUGGUAUACAAUUUGAGGGAUCUCAAUGGAAAUGACUUGGGUAAUUUUCAUGUUAGCCAUUUGAAGUUAGAUAUUAGUGAUAGUGGCACUGAUGAUCAGAACGACAAUUAUUAGUACCUAAUAUAAUUUUCAUUUUUUUUAAUUAGUUCAUAUUUUUUGUGUGUUGAGGUCAUUUAUUUGAUUUUCAGCUUAGUGUUUUAUUUUUUUUAUUUUUGAAUUUUCUCAAUUGAUAAACUUGGACGGACAGAUUUAGCUGGGGCUCUCAGUUAAAUAUUGAAUUCCCAGAUUUUCGGUUAUUUUGGCGUAGAGAUUAUGCAUUGAGUAUGUAAGUGAGUUUAUAACUUGCAUAAAUAUUCUGUCUGUCCGAAAUUUGUCAGAAGCGAUUGAUUACUAUUCAGUGUAUUUUUGGAUAGAUUUUUCAGCUGCUUUUGUUUAAAUUCACAAUAUUUUCAGAUUUUCUCGUUUUGUAAUUGAUUCGAAUAGAUUAGCUCCAAUAAUUUUACCUUAUGUAGUAUUUUGAGUGUGAGAUAGUAUCUCACUGGCGCCCAACUUUAGUUUUUUUUUUUUUGUUCUUUCUACCUUUUAAUGUCGUUCGGAUCUGAUGUCCUAUUUUGUCGUGGGUUAUAAAUUAUAAUGAAAAGGGAGGUAGGGAGGAGAGUCAGGUUGGUUGUGUAUAGUUUCUUGAAGCUAUAUACUGCCAACCUUGAACUGUUCACUGAGUGGUUAAUUUUAGAACUUUUUCAAACCAAAUUAAAGAAGAACCGUAGAACUGUUCUCUUUUUAGCUACUCAUAUCAUUGAGAGGUAUCCAUCAUGAAAUAUCCUUGAAUUAUUUGUGAUUCGUUGUUGUAAUUGUAUAUUUUGUUCAGAAAUCUGGUGUGGGGACAAAUAUCUUUUAUAUAUUGUAAUGCCCAUAAGUAAUAUAUUUUUUUAUUUGGACUGAAGAGGAUACAGACACAAACUUCCUGUAGCGCACUGUCCAAUAGGUUUGCUGACCAUCUAGCAUUCCAUUAAUUUCUAUUUCAAUAUUUAAAAAUUAAUUAAAAUUUUUUCCACUUUCAGGGUUUUAUGCACUGAUUUUUUUUUUUUUUUUUUUGGUGGGUAGAGGAGAUGUGUAACGAUACGAUCGUUACAAUUUUUUCUUUUUGAAAUUCAAAUUUAUUCAUUACAUAUUUGUUGUACCGCCACUGCAUUUGUACGUGUAUCGAAGAAUUCAGAUUUGCAGAUGGGCGCAUGUUUUCAAUCUGAUAAGAUAUUAAUCGGUUAUUCGAAGAUUUUAUUCUUUCUUUUCUGCUUUGUCUGGUGAAUGAAAUAAGUCAUCAGAGUUGAGUUCUUGAUAUAGAUAUUUUUUGGUAUUAAAUUUUGAGAUUUAGUUAGUAUUUCAUAGUUUCUAUUGGUUUAGUGAAACUCAAUUAAAAAUUGAGUUUUUGGGUGAAGCCCAGAUUUUCGAUUUAUAUUUCCAAGUUGAACUUCGUUGACCAACAUCCAACUUCGAAGAAUCAAUCACACCUGAAAACUGUGGUGAUCAGAACCUGGAAAUCCUUAUAUGGUGCUGUGUACAGUAUCGUACCAAAUCAGAUGGUUCUUCCUGCAUAGGAGCACUUCACCUGGAUUUUAAUUGCUAAUGGAAGUAUUCUGUUAUAUAUUUUGUUAUUUCAUUCGAUAUCCAAUUUAUAUAAUUUCGUAUGCUCUAUUUCAUUUUGCAUUUGAGAUAUUGCGCUUCGAAGCUAUUCAUAAUAAUUUUCAUUGUUUAAAUCCAAUUGUAAGCAGCUAUUUUUCAAUAUUUCACUCUUAACUUUUUAUUCUAAUUUGAGCAAUUUAGUCUAUCUUAUUAAUAAAUCUCUGAAAGUGGA